rnacentral:rRNA from 1 species
UAGGGAAUCUUCCACAAUGGACGAAAGUCUGAUGGAGCAACGCCGCGUGAGUGAAGAAGGGUUUCGGCUCGUAAAACACUGUUGUAAGAGAAGAAUGACAUUGAGAGUAACUGUUCAAUGUGUGACGGUAUCUUACCAGAAAGGAACGGCUAAAUACGUGCCCG